rnacentral:rRNA from 14 species
CCUGACAGCGUACCUUUUGUAUAAUGGGUCAGUGAGUUAGUCUAUCAAGCAAGCUUAAGCCGUUAGGUGUAGGCGCAGCGAAAGCGAGUCUUAAUAGGGCGACUGAGUUAGAUGCAUUAGACCCGAAACCGAGUGAUCUAGGCAUGGCCAGGUUGAAGGUUAGGUAACACUAACUGGAGGACCGAACCCACAUCUGUUGAAAAAGAUCGGGAUGAGCUGUGCCUAGGGGUGAAAGGCCAAUCAAACUCGGAGAUAGCUGGUUCUCCGCGAAAUCUAUUUAGGUAGAGCGUCGUGUCUUACCCUGGGGGGUAGAGCACUGUUUGGGCUAGGGGGUCAUCUCGACUUACCAACCCCAUGCAAACUCCGAAUACCUAUGAGUGCGAGCACGGGAGACACAC